UACGGAGGGGGCUAGCGUUGUUCGGAAUUACUGGGCGUAAAGCGCACGUAGGCGGCUGUGUAAGUCAGAGGUGAAAGCCCGGGGCUCAACCCCGGAAUAGCCUUUGAGACUGCAUAGCUUGAACACGGGAGAGGUGAGUGGAAUUCCGAGUGUAGAGGUGAAAUUCGUAGAUAUUCGGAAGAACACCAGUGGCGAAGGCGGCUCACUGGACCGUUGUUGACGCUGAGGAGCGAAAGCAUGGGGAGCGAACAGG
rnacentral:rRNA from 1 species